rnacentral:tRNA from 1 species
UCCAAAAUAACUCAAUUGGGAGAGUGUUAGACUGAAGAUCUAAAGGUCCCUGGGCUAGUGUAUUGUGGCAUCACCUCGCCCUUUUUGGUC